GGACUACAAGGGUUUCUAAUCCUGUUUGCUCCCCACGCUUUCGUGUCUCAGCGUCAGUUGUCGUCCAGUAAGCCGCCUUCGCCACUGGUGUUCCUCCCAAUAUCUACGCAUUUAACCGCUACACUGGGAAUUCCGCUUACCUCUCCGACACUCAAGCUUUGCAGUUUCAGAUGCUGGCGGGGGUUGAGCCCCCGAAUUUCACAUCAGACUUACAUAGCCGCCUACACACCCUUUACACCCAGUAAUUCCGGGUAACGCUUGCCACCUACGUAUUACCGCGGCUGCUGGCAC
rnacentral:rRNA from 1 species